rnacentral:rRNA from 1 species
GAUGAACGCUGGCGGCGUGCCUAACACAUGCAAGUCGAACGGAGUCCAGCCUUUAAGACCUUCGGGUCAAAGAGGGGAAGACUGAGUGGCGGACGGGUGAGUAACACGUGGGCAACCUGGCUCAUAGAGGGGGAUAACAGAGAGAAAUUUCUGCUAAUACCGCAUAAGCACACACUGCCGCAUGGCAGAGGGUGAAAAGAGAAUCGCUAUGAGAUGGACCCGCGUCUGAUUAGCCAGUUGGCAGGGUAAGAGCCUACCAAAGCGACGAUCAGUAGCCGAUCUGAGAGGAUGAACCGCCACACUGGGACUGAGACACGGCCCAAACUCCUACGGGAGGCAACAGUGGGUGAUAUUGCACAAUGGGGGGAACCCUGAUGCAGCGACGCCGCGUGAGUGAAGAAGUAUUUCGGUAUGUAAAGCUCUAUCAGCAGGGAAGAUAAUGACAGUACCUGAAGAAGAAGCCCCGGCUAACUACGUG